rnacentral:rRNA from 1 species
AUACGUAGGUGACAAGCGUUAUCCGGAUUUACUGGGCGUAAAGGGCGUGUAGGCGGUCUUGCAAGUCAGAAGUGAAAUUCCUGAGCUCAACUCGGGCGCUGCUUCUGAAACUGCAGGACUUGAGUGCUGGAGGGGAUAGCGGAAUUCCUAGUGGAGCGGUAAAAUGCGUAGAUAUUAGGAGGAACACCAGAGGCGAAGGCGGCUUACUGGACUGUAACUGACGUUGAGGCUCGAAGGCGUGGGGAGCAAACAGGAUUAGAUACCCUGGUAGUCCACGCGGUAAACGAUGAUCACUAGGUGUCGGCGGCCAUAGGCGGUCGGUGCCGCAGCAAACGCAAUAAGUGAUCCACCUGGGGAGUACGUUCGCAAGAAUGAAACUUAAAGGAAUUGACGGGG